GUGGUUGUAGCUCAAUGGUAGAGCUCUGCCUAACAUGUGGGGCACUGGGUUCGAUCCUCAGCACCACA
rnacentral:tRNA from 1 species